GUCUAUGGAGUUAGAAUCAACAAGAACGCAUUUAUAAUUCCUGUAAAUCAACCAAGCAAGACAAUUAGGUAUAUGUCUAUCCUAACCACGAAUCCGUUUCCCGAUGCCCGAGUUCAAGAACUUGCUCUACUCAAUCCUAUAUGCAAUAUAGAAUUCCCACUUUCGAGUUCAAUUCUAGAUUCGUAGAUAGUAUUCAAUUGGUGAUCAAGCAAUUAAAUAAUUAAGCGCAAGAUUGAAUAAAUAAACCAAUAUGAUAAAUCAAGAAGGCAAAAUCAAUAUCCGAAUAACAAGUCAUGAAAGAACCACAACCCUAGAACGUGAAGUUUAGCUCCACAUAGACAUGGUAGCCAAACAACAAAUCAUACAAAGAAACAUAAAAAUUACUAAGUUUGGUGAGAGAAAGAUGGAACUUGAUGAAUUUCGGCCUCCACGGCGGCUCUGUGCUUGUGUUUUUCUCUCCAAAACGUCCUCUCCUUUUUAAAAUAGGUUUAGGUUGGUUUUUAUAUGAGUUGGGGGCAUCUUGGGAUCGAAAUAACCGAGUCCCGGCCGAAAUAGGACAUGUUCACGUUUUUGAGCGUCCAGGGCAGCGUGGGGCGCUGGCCCUGGCGCUCAAAUAUUUUAGCUGCUGUAAAUUGCGCCACAGCCAGCGCUGUGGCCCUCAAAUUUCACUUUUUGCCUUUUUGUCCCGAUUUCGCUUCAAUUCGCGCUCGUUCGUCCCAAAUUGCAUCCGAAUGAUCCCUACAUAUAGAAAUACCAAACUUUAGCACAAAUAAUCACAUUAACCAUCUCAAAUCGUUGAGACAUGAGCAAAAUGUGAGGCGAUAUAUAUCAAAAUAUGCAUACAUUAAGCCGAUUAUCAAUUAACUACCUCUAUCCUAAAUAAGUAGGAAUCGGCUAUAUAAAUCAUAUGUAACCAUUAUGCUCUUUAUCGGUUCAUUUCAUAUCAGUACUAAAUAAUUUCCUUUUAAGGGAAAUUAGGGGUUCCUAGUAAUAGAGGUUCUCUAAAUUUUGCCCUUAUCCAACACGAACAUACAAGUCUCUAACCAGAAUAAAAGGACUCUUAAGAAAAACAGUGGACUACAUCGGCAACCCCUUUAACUUGUUUUCACUUUCCACUUUUACAUUUAUUCUUAAGAUCGUUCCAUUUAAACACUUCAACCAACCCUUUAAUGUGUCAUCCAGACACUAAAAUUUUAGGCAGCCAAACAGGAUAGAUGCUUGUAAUUCACACGCCAGAAUAACCAAUAAGAAAAAGACACGUGGAUUUAACUUCAAAAGGAAACUUUUAAAAAAAGAAAAAAGUUAAAAGAAAAAGAACCCUCCAUCAUCUUCCCGACCCCCCAACCCAAACUUCUUCUGCCAGUAAAAACGUGGGCGUCUUCUUCAUCAUUCUUUCAUCUUUCCUUUUAAUAAUCAAACAAAUUCUUCCACAAACCUCCAAUUUAUACAUUCAGUUAUUCAACAUUGGUAGAUCUGAAAUAUAACAAAACAAAAAAAAUUUAAUUUGGACAUAAAAUAAAUUUAGAAGUGAGUGAAUUGCACGAUCAUUACCUGGCUGGACAUAAAGCGCCGGAGGUUCUUCCCUAGGUUGUAAUCUAUCUCCCCACUAAAAUUUGGAGCAUUCCAACUUCAAAAUUGGCAACUCCGAUGAAGCUCCAAGCUCCGGCGAGCUCCAUUUGGCCGAAAAUGGUGUUCAAGCCAAUCAAAUGCAGCAAAACCAAUGCCAAACAGUUUCUGCACCUUGAGCGAGUGUUUCUAACCCCUCUUCUUCAGGUUUGAUUCACUCAGCUGCAACGAAUUUGAAAAUUGGAGAAUUUGGCAAGUUGAGCAUACAAGAUGUUCGACAAAAUGCCAGUUCCAAUUUCACGCCAAUUCGACAGGGUUCAUAUAUUGUACAUGCUUCUUCUCAUCAAAUACAAUCCCCCCAUAUAGUUUUUGAGAAAGAAUAGUUGGACCGAUUUGAGUAGUUCUUGUCCAUAUAUGAACUCUAAAUUUUUCGGCCAGAACGCUACUUUUAGUCAUGACUGUUUUUGAGUAAGUCUUGAAAUGGAAGCUUGGAUCUUAAAAACGAGAUAAUCAUUAAAUUCUAUGUAUUAAAGCAGAAGCUUCGAUCUUGAAACAGAAGCUUGGCAUAACUUAGAAUUACUCCUUUGUGUACAUAGUAUUUUUAUCCUACACUGAAAAUUUAAAAGAGAAGUUUAGUGGAAAAUUUUCUGGCAAAAACUAUUUAUUUUCGGGCAAUAAGUAUGAGGAGUUUGUUUUUUGGACCAUUUCACGCGCUUGAAAAAUGUGAGAAACAUUCACCUUGUCAUAUCAGCUUUUUGUGUCUAGAUGACACACUAAAGGGUUGGUUGGAGUGUUUAAAUGGAACGACCGUAAGAAUAAGUGUUAAAGUGGAAAGUGAAAACAAGUUAAAGGGGCUGCCGAUGUAUUCUGCUCAAGUAUAACAACAAAUAGUACUUAAUUCCAUGUUAGCUAAUUUACUUUCUAAAUGUGCUGUUUAAAUGUUAUAUUAGCAUAAAUGUUGAUGGACAUAUUUUUUGAAUAAUAAUAUCCUUUUUGUUGAUGUGUAAAAGUUCGACCGCCAGAGCUGAGUUUCCUGGAGCUAAAGCGGUAAUGGAUGGAUUUGGUGGUGGAGAUCUAUCGAUUUCUAGGCUACAACAAAUACAGAGGUCCUGAUGUUUGAUUCAAAAGCUAAUUGCUUCAAAAUUUUCCAGCGAGUGUAAUUGUGAUGCUGUAAAAUUAGUUAUAUGAGAUAUGUACUGUAAGUAAAAUGUAUUGCUCUAGCAGCCAUUUACUUUCUAUAAUUAUCCAUUUAUGGAAUUACUUCUCAAUUUUGAGCUUCAUUCCACCUUUCUGGAAAAUUUUCAAACUUUCUGGUGCUAUUCUUAAUCUUCAUUAUGCUGUUGCGGUUCCAACUACGUGUCUGAAUGAGCAUUUCUUUUUUUGGACAGUGUUAAUGUUUAAGUAGAUUGUUUCAGAAUUAUUUCUUUGUCCCUCACUAAAAAAGAACUCAGAGAUGAGUUCGUUUAUAAGGCGGAACUCUAAAAUGCUUGUUAAGUAUCUGCAAAAAUGCAAUCGACUAGGUAAAUCUUGCCCAUACGUAGCAUUGAAGUUAGGAGUUUUAACUAUAAAAAGUGUUAUCUGUCUAAUUAGUUUAAAAUGGGCACAACUCAAAUCAACCCAUAAAAAGGGUUGGGUGAAUGUUAGCUCAUAUCAUUCUAUAAGAGUUAAUAAAUAAAGGGGAGAAAAGCCAAAUCAUUUUUAUUACAGGCUACAAUUUUACUUUGCGCUGCAAUUAGUCAUUUUUGCAACUUGAUUAUACAGUUCCAGGUUAAAGAAAACCAAAGGAAAAGUACUUAACUAGUUUUCUAAGUUGGGACAUAUGAGUUAUUGCUUGAUAUAAUUUGCUAAACAUAUCUACGAAAUUCAUCCUUCAUGAAAUUAAUCAAGGUUGAAGUAUAUGAAUUUCCUACAAGUCUGCAAUAUUCUUUCCACCACCGCAUGAAGCUGCUCUGAGGCAAGAAAAUCUCAGGAGACACCAAGAAGUUAUUAAUCAUGUCCAUUACAUACUGCUCAAAUUUGAUCAGGUUUUCUCUAGCUGAUUCUUGGUCUUGUGCGCUGCUUUGUCGAUCCUUCAACACUUCAC
rnacentral:lncRNA from 1 species